rnacentral:rRNA from 1 species
CGGGGGGCAGCAGUGGGGAAUUUUGGACAAUGGGCGCAAGCCUGAUCCAGCCAUGCCGCGUGUGGGAAGAAGGCCUUCGGGUUGUAAACCACUUUUGUCAGGGAAGAAACGGCUUAGUUUAAUACGCUGAGCUAAUGACGGUACCUGAAGAAUAAGCACCGGCUAACUACGUGCCAGCAGCCGCGGUAAUACGUAGGGUGCAAGCGUUAAUCGGAAUUACUGGGCGUAAAGCGUGCGCAGGCGGCUUUGCAAGACAGAUGUGAAAUCCCCGGGCUCAACCUGGGAACUGCAUUUGUGACUGCAUGGCUAGAGUGCGGCAGAGGGGGAUGGAAUUCCGCGUGUAGCAGUGAAAUGCGUAGAUAUGCGGAGGAACACCGAUGGCGAAGGCAAUCCCCUGGGCCUGCACUGACGCUCAUGCACGAAAGCGUGGGGAGCAAACAGGAUUAGAUACCCGAGU